AAAUUAUAUGGUCAAGCGAAUAAGGGCAGACGGUGGAUGCCUUGGUGCUAGCUGGCGAUGAAGGUCGUGGUAAGCUGCGAAAAGCCUCGGGGAGUUGCAAACAAGCUUUGAUCCGGGGAUCACCGAAUGGGAAAACCUGAUACGGUUAAUCCCGUAUCAUUGCAAUCUGAAUACAUAGGAUUGCAAGGUAACACUGGGGGAAUUGAAACAUCUUAGUACCCCAAGGAAAAGAAAUCAAACAGAGAUUCCCUGAGUAGCGGCGAGCGAAAGGGGAAGAGCCCAAACCCGU
rnacentral:rRNA from 1 species